UUGGAGGGCAAGUCUGGUGCCAGCAGCCGCGGUAAUUCCAGCUCCAAUAGCGUAUAUUAAAGUUGUUGCAGUUAAAAAGCUCGUAGUUGAAUUUCGGGAUCAAUUUGUUGGUCGUGCCUCGGUACGUACUGGCAUUAUUGGUUUCUACCUUCUGAAGAACCUUGAUGUCAUUAAUUUGGUGUCUUGGGGAAUCAGGACUGUUACUUUGAAAAAAUUAGAGUGUUUAAAGCAGGCAUACGCUUGAAUACAUUAGCAUGGAAUAAUGAAAUAGGACGUUUGAUUCUAUUUUGUUGGUUUCUAGGAUCGACGUAAUGAUUAAUAGGGAUAGUUGGGGGCAUUAGUAUUCAAUUGUCAGAGGUGAAAUUCUUGGAUUUAUUGAAGACUAACUACUGCGAAAGCAUUUGCCAAGGAUGUUUUCAUUAAUCAAGAACGAAAGUUAGGGGAUCGAAGACGAUCAGAUACCGUCGUAGUCUUAACCAUAAACUAUGCCGACUAGGGAUCGCAUGAUGUUAAUUUUUUAAUGACUCAUUCGGCGCCUUACGGGAAAC
rnacentral:rRNA from 1 species